CCUACGGGGGGCUGCAGUGAGGAAUAUUGGUCAAUGGGCGAGAGCCUGAACCAGCCAUCCCGCGUGCAGGAAGACGGCCCUAUGGGUUGUAAACUGCUUUUUUAUGGGAAGAAAAAGCUCUACGUGUAGGGCACUGACGGUACCAUAUGAAUAAGCAUCGGCUAACUCCGUGCCAGCAGCCGCGGUAAUACGGAGGAUGCGGGCGUUAUCAGGAUUAAUUGGGUUGUAGGGGUAAGUAUAAGUCAGAUUAGAAAUCUCACAGCGUAACUGUGAAACUGCCAUUGAUACUGGUUUUCUUGAGUAUAGUUGAAGUAGGCGGAAUGUGUAAUGUAGCGGUGAAAUGCUUAGAUAUUACACAGAACACCGAUUGCGAAGGCAGCUUACUAAGCUAUUACUGACGCUGAUGCACGAAAGCGUGGGGAGCGAACAGGAUUAGAUACCCCAGUAGUC
rnacentral:rRNA from 1 species